UACGAAGGGGGCUAGCGUUGCUCGGAAUCACUGGGCGUAAAGGGUGCGUAGGCGGUCUCGCAAGUCUGGCGUGAAAGCCCAAGGCUCAGCCUUGGAAGUGCGCUCGAAACGGCGAGGCUGGAGUGCCGGAGGGGAGAGUGGAAUUCCUGGUGUAGCGGUGAAAUGCGCAGAUAUCGAGAGGAACACCUGCGGCGAAGGCGGGUUGCUGGGCUGAUACUGACGCUGAGGCGCGAAAGCCAGGGAGCGAACGGG
rnacentral:rRNA from 1 species